ACCCAUGCAGUCGACGAACCUUCGGGUUAGUGGCGGACGGGUGAGUAACGCGUGAUAAUCUGCCCUCAGGAGGGGGAUAACAGUUGGAAACGACUGCUAAUACCCCAUAUGCCGAGAGGUGAAACGAAUUUUGCCUGGGGAUGAGCUCGCGUCUGAUUAGCUUGUUGGUGGGGUAAAAGCCUACCAAGGCUUCGAUCAGUAGCUGGUCUGAGAGGACGAUCAGCCACACUGGGACUGAGAUACGGCCCAGACUCCUACGGGAGGCAGCAGUGGGGAAUUUUCCGCAAUGGGCGCAAGCCUGACGGAGCAACGCCGCGUGAGGGAUGAAGGCCUUUGGGCUGUAAACCUCUUUUCUCAAGGAAGAAGAUCUGACGGUACUUGAGGAAUAAGCCACGGCUAAUUCCGUGCCAGCAGCCGCGGUAAUACGGGAGUGGCAAGCGUUAUCCGGAAUUAUUGGGCGUAAAGCGUCCGCAGGCGGCCGUUUAAGUCUGUUGUUAAAUCGUGGAGCUCAACUCCAUCACGGCAAUGGAAACUGUUCGGCUUGAGUAUGGUAGGGGCAGAGGGAAUUUCCGGUGUAGCGGUGAAAUGCGUAGAUAUCGGGAAGAACACCAGUGGCAAAAGCGCUCUGCUGGGCCAUUACUGACGCUCAUGGACGAAAGCCAGGGGAGCGAAAGGGAUUAGAUACCCCUGUAGUCCUGGCCGUAAACGAUGA
rnacentral:rRNA from 1 species